GUUGUCAUGGCCUAGUGGUUAAGGCGAUAGACUAGAAAUCUAUUGGGAUCAUCCCGGGCAGGUUUGAAUCCUGCUAACAACA